rnacentral:rRNA from 1 species
UACGUAGGUGGCAAGCGUUGUCCGGAUUUAUUGGGUUUAAAGGGUGCGUAGGUGGUCUAUUAAGUCAGUUGUGAAAUACGGCAGCUCAACUGUCGAGGUGCAAUUGAUACUGAUGGACUUGAGUACUGAUGAGGUAAGCGGAAUGGACGGUGUAGCGGUGAAAUGCUUAGAUAUCGUCCAGAACACCGAUAGCGAAGGCAGCUUACUAAGGAGUAACUGACGCUGAGGCACGAAAGUGUGGGGAUCAAACAGG